UUAAGACAUGGGAUUUCACCAUGUUGCCCAGGCUGGUCUCAAACUUCUGGACUCAAGAGAACCUGUCUCAGCUUCCCAAAGCGUUGGUAUUACAGGCAUCUUUCACCCUGAAGUCACGGGAACAACGCUGAGGGGCAGCCAGAGAUUAUGUGGGCUUUUCCAUGGGAAGAACCACUCUACGUUAUCACCUUCUACAUAGUAGCAGUUGAAGCCAAAUGGACAGAAAGCCCGAGACAACAUGAAGUUGUUCUACAAGUUAUUUUGGAGAAAUUGACUUACCAUACCACUCAUCAACCCAUGCAAAAGCCUGUCUAUGUCCAAUCAGCAGAAUGUCUCGGACCACCUAAAAAGUAAAAGAAGGAGACUGAAAUAAUAGCAUCUUUGAUGAAAACUAUCUGGAAGACAAGUUGUUAACAAUUCUGGGGAUCUUGGUGAUUACAGAGUUCUUAAUCCCUCUGUCCAUAGGUGAUGACAAUUACAGGCUGCCUAUAGGUCCUAUAGUGCUCACACACCUCCAGCCCUUCCCCAUGGUGUACACACACUUGCAGUAUAUUCAUCUCUUUGUCUUAUUUGAGAGUAGGGCUGGGUGUGUGUACAAACUAAUGACAAAUACUUGACAGUCACACAGCAGUGAUACAAAUAAAUAUCUAGGUUAAUUACCUUGAAGUUUUUCUCUCCAUUUAUUUUUAACUAAAACAGCAUCUACUUUUCAUCUGUGGGAGGGUGUGUCUCACUGGUGCCAGGAGGUCAUAAAUUUUGGAAAUCUAGAACACUUUUC
rnacentral:lncRNA from 10 species